UUUUGGGCAAUGGGGGAAACCCUGACCCAGCAACGCCGCGUGAAGGAUGAAGGCUUUCGGGUUGUAAACUUCUUUUAGCAGGAAAGAAAAAAUGACGGUACCUGCAGAAAAAGCACCGGCUAACUCUGUGCCAGCAGCCGCGGUAAUACAGAGGGUGCAAGCGUUAUUCGGAUUUACUGGGCAUAAAGAGCGCGUAGGCGGUUUAAUAAGUCUGAUGUGAAAUCCCUGGACUCAAUCCAGGAACUGCAUCGGAUACUGUUAGACUCGAGUACAGGAGAGGAGAGCGGAAUUCUUGGUGGAGAGGUGAAAUUCGUAGAUAUCAAGAGGAACAACAGUGGCGAAGGCGGCUCUCUGGACUGAACUGACGCUGAGGCGCGAAA
rnacentral:rRNA from 1 species